GUAUCAAAACGGAUAAGGGACAUUUGGGUAAUUAUGAAUUCUUCAGCAUGAUUUUUCCAGAAGCCUUGCCAUAAAAUGAAAAUUGUUUGGACAUUUUCAGCUGUGAAGAAUUUGCUUGGGUCUUAAUUUUCAUGAACCUCCAAAGUGCCGGGAAACAGGAAUUCACCUACCUUGUUGUAACUGCAGCCCAUACAUACCUUCAACUUCUCCUUUUGCUCCUCCUGUAGAAUCAUCUCCAGGUUCCCCAAAGACGGCAAUGCUGCUGACCAUUGGUUCACAUUUUGAAUAGUAAGGUUCAAGGACACUUCAUCCAACCAAGAUAUAUGUUCCAGGGAUAAAGUGUCUAGUCCGGCUCUGUCCAGCAGCAAAUCCAUGAAUAAUGGCUCUGAUGGCAUCAGUAGGUUGAAAUAGUCAUAAAUAUUUAUGAAUGCUAACUAUCAGCAAUAGUAAUAUAAGUAGGAAUUGGUAGAUCCUGAGUCCUAUAAAGGAGGAAAAACAACUCAUUGUGAAGAAUAAAUUGAGGGGUAUCUGGGUGGCUCA